CGCUAAUAGUCGGGGAGCCCUUGGGGCUGAGAUCGCAUCGCGAGACCCGUUGAACCUGAUUCAGUUAGCACUGACGUAGGGAACUAUGCGUCCUUUAGC
rnacentral:ncRNA from 2 species